GGUGGCUCAGUGGUAGAGUGCUUGUCUCUAAUGCAUGAGGUCCUGGGUUCGAUUCCUCAGCACCA
rnacentral:tRNA from 1 species